GUAGGUGGCAAGCGUUGUCCGGAAUUAUUGGGCGUAAAGCGCGCGCAGGCGGUCCUUUAAGUCUGAUGUGAAAGCCCACGGCUCAACCGUGGAGGGUCAUUGGAAACUGGGGGACUUGAGUACAGAAGAGGAAAGCGGAAUUCCAAGUGUAGCGGUGAAAUGCGUAGAGAUCUGGAGGAACACCAGUGGCGAAGGCGGCUUUCUGGUCUGUAACUGACGCUGAGGCGCGAAAGCGUGGGGAGCAAACAGGGAUUAGAUACCCUGGUAGUCCACGCCGUAAACGAUGAGUGCUAAGAGUUAGGGGGUUUCCGCCCCCUUAGUGCUGCAGCUAACGCAUUAAGCACUCCGCCUGGGGAUACGGCCGCAAGGCUG
rnacentral:rRNA from 1 species